CAAGUUUGAUUCUAUGGUUGAGAUCUGUCUGAUUGGUCAACGGGCUAUCAUAGGUGAUAUCGAAGCUGUAUGCGGCCUGUGUAAACACACCCAUACUAUCACGUGUAUUGAACCUGUACACGCAUAUGAAAUGGAAAUGCGCAGUUUUCACAAGCUCGUCAUGCGCAGACACCCCCAAACUGUAAAGAUGAUCAGAGCAAUGGUGGCUUUCAAGAUACAAAAUAGAUGGGAACGCAUUAGAAAUGAAAAGGUACCUAUCUAUCGGACAAUACUUGAGAAGUUACUGCUCAACGAUCUUCAGCAAAAUGACGUCAAGGUCACUCCUGGAAGUAGAGCGCCACUUUCGGUAGCACAAAAAAGACUAGCGAUCAACUCACAAGGACCCGGUUCUCUUUACCGUAAACUCAAAGAAAAACGAGAAAGACAUCUUGUUCUGUCGCGUCGGCAUUCACAGCUGCAACUUCCCGGGCUUGGGGAUGCGCAUAGAAGUGGAGCAGUCAUGUCAUCGAGAUCCUCGACACGCAGGGGUGAUCGGGGCCAUUCCGCUAAA